CUAUCCUGUCUUAUCUGGUUUGUGCGACAAUCAUAAAAAGAUCCCAAUUUUAUGCACCAAAAGAAGAAAAACUUUUCACUAUGAGAUAUCAGAGAGAAAGUGGGGUGAAAAUCUUUCUUUGGGACAUAAGUUUUGUGUAGGUUUCAUUCUUCCUUGGCAUGAACAAAAGAGGAGAUCGUUCUCCUCUCGGGUGAGAGAUCUAGAACUGUUCUAGAUUUUUGGAUGAGAAAAAAAUCAAAGAGAAGAGAG
rnacentral:lncRNA from 1 species